AGUUAAUUUAACUCCAUAAACA
rnacentral:tRNA from 1 species